rnacentral:rRNA from 1 species
CCUACGGGCGGCUGCAGUAAGGAAUAUUGGUCAAUGGACGCAAGUCUGAACCAGCCAUGCCGCGUGGAGGAUGAAGGUCCUCUGGAUUGUAAACUUCUUUUAUCUGGGACGAAAAAAGGGAAUUCUUUCUCGUCUGACGGUACCAGAUGAAUAAGCACCGGCUAACUCCGUGCCAGCAGCCGCGGUAAUACGGAGGGUGCAAGCGUUAUCCGGAUUCACUGGGUUUAAAGGGUGCGUAGGCGGGUAUGUAAGUCCGUGGUGAAAUCUCCGAGCUUAACUCGGAAACUGCCAUGGGUACUGCGUAUCUUGAAUGUUGUGGAGGUGAGCGGAAUAUGUCAUGUAGCGGUGAAAUGCUUAGAUAUGACAUAGAACACCAAUUGCGAAGGCAGCUCACUACACAAAUAUUGACGCUGAGGCACGAAAGCGUGGGGAUCAAACAGGAUUAGAUACCCGAGUAGUC